CUCUCUUUGUAUAAUAUAAAUAAAGAGUUGGGCCUGCUCGGUGAAACGUUUUAACAGCUGCGGUAUUUUAACUGUACUAAGGUAGCAUAAUAAUUUGCCUUAUAAUUUGAGGCUAGAAUGAAUGGUUUGACGAAGGUUAAUCUGUCUCUGCUUUAUUUUUUAGAAAUUAAUUUUCAUAGUGAAAAAGCUUGAAUUUCUUAAGGGGACGAGAAGACCCUACUGAGCUUAUAAUUUUAUUAUCACAUAUAUUUAUGUAUAAUGUGCUAUAUAAAUUUUAAUUGGGGUGAUUAAGGAAUAAUAUAGCUAUAUUUAUAACUUCCUUAGAUAUUAUAUUGUUGAAUUAAGUAACCGAUUAAUUAAUAGAAUUGUAUUAUGUAUUGCUUAUAAUAUAGUUACCAUAGGGAUAACAGCGUAAUUUACUUAGAGAGUUCUUAUUGAAAAGUAAGAUUGCGACCUCGAUGUUGGAUUAAAGUGACCUUAAGGUGCAGAAGCUUUAUGAGGUAAAUCUGUUCGAUUUUUAAAACUUU
rnacentral:rRNA from 1 species